CUUACCUCGAAUGAAGUGGAAAAGAUGAUCUCAGAUCCUGAACACUCUCUUGUACUUAUACAGCUUGGCCUCGCGGACAUUGGGAAGGCUCCUGUGAUCGAAGCAGAAGCCGACCCUGUGAAGUUCAUCCUGGUAGGGAUGCUGGCAGGCCUCAUCAUCGUACUGGCUGUCCUCACCACUUCGCUGAUGUGCACUCGCAGAAACUACAGGAGGAAGCUGAAGUCAGCUAAAGCCAUGAACUCUGCAUCCAUGGUGACCUCUGACAACCAGAAAAGCGGCCCCGUGGUGCCUGGAACCAACAAGUACACCAUGGAGGGGGCUAAUCCUGUUCUCAACCUCAACAUCGACACGGCCAUGGUGCUGGAUAUGGACGACGAGUCAGAUGUGGACAAAGUCAGGUAA
rnacentral:lncRNA from 1 species